rnacentral:rRNA from 1 species
UACGGAGGGUGCGAGCGUUAUUCGGAAUUACUGGGCGUAAAGCGCGUGUAGGCGGGGGAGCAAGUCUGAUGUGAAAGCCCCGGGCUUAACCCGGGAAGUGCAUUGGAAACUGUUUUUCUUGAGUACUGGAGAGGAAGGGGGAAUUCCCGGUGUAGAGGUGAAAUUCGUAGAGAUCGGGAGGAAUACCAGUGGCGAAGGCGCCCUUCUGGACGGUUACUGACGCUGAGACGCGAAAGCGUGGGGAGCAAACAGGAUUAGAUACCCUGGUAGUCCACGCUGUAAACGAUGAGCACUAGGUGUAGCGGGUACUCAUUCCUGCUGUGCCGCAGCUAACGCGUUAAGUGCUCCGCCUGGGGACUACGGUCGCAAGACUAAA